rnacentral:lncRNA from 1 species
UACCACCUCUGUGAAGUGCUCUAUCUUUCCAUGCUAUAUGUGCUUAUAAAACUCGUCAUCUCUUCUCAUCAGCAGAUGGACAACCUCUGCCAUCUGCUUUUUACUUCAUGGCUAUAGUCUGAAGAGUUACCAGGAUAUACAAAAAAUGGAUUGACCUAAAAAGUGAGGGGUCUCCUGACUUUUCCAGUGGUGUGAGUUACAGAAAAAAAUCCCUCUGAUGUUCAAGACCAUGAGACACAUGGUGAGUACCUCCAAGGGCUGGGCACAAACAGGAAGGCAGGUCCUGAAAAGCUUACAGACAGGGCAUUAUGUACCUUCUCAGAGGAUGCCAUGGUUGAUGGGGCUAGGGAUAGGCUUGGCUUGCCUUGGGUGGCAUCGGGCCCUCAAGCUCCUUCUGUCUCAUGGCAUUACAGGACUUGGCAACCCGCUGCCUUUGGCCAUGUGCUGGCUCUGCUGCUACAUCUGAACUGCCCAUUUGAAGGAGAAUCUGUAGAACCUGUGGCCACUGGAAGACACCUGAGGCUUUUGGGCCUGGGUGGUCAGGUGAAGGAGAGAAGGCUAAUAGAACAAAAGAUGUAUCUUGGGCACCCAGGUUCUUCAGUACAGCUCUGCACCACAGGAUGUUCUUCAAGUCUGAGCUACAGCCAACAUCUGUGGACAACACUCUUUGUUCCUAUGUAUCCUUUUACAUGCAUUUCUUCCUUGCUUCCCAGCUUUUCAAGUGACCAAGCCUUGCAGUGA